GAAAAGCCUUCAGUUCAGCUGUGUAUGUUGUUUUUAAUGCACCAGUGGAAGAGCAGGCGUACCAGGGUCUAUGAGAGAUUUCUGCUUGGUCUUUGAAGGGCAGAAGAAUAUUAAGUAAGGUAAAGCUGCUUCUAAUAACAGGUGCAUGUGGAGGAACAGAGGCCAAAGUAAGCAAGCUCUGUCCUAGAGACCUGAGAAGACCCAAUAAGAGAACUAUCAGGGAAGCUGGGAAACACAAGGAGAAAAGGGAGAGACUGCUGGUGACAAUUUUAGCAUCGAUCAGUUCAAACUCCCUAAAGAACUUACAUUACAUCUGUCUUUUGUUUUCCAAUAACAGUGUGCUAGGACCACUCCUUAUUAUGCAGCUAUUAUUAUGCAGUGCAAGUAUAUAAAAAAAAAUACAGUGCAUCUAAUAGAAUAUAUAUAUAUAUAUUGUCACUGAUAUGCAUUAUUUCCCUUUCUUCCAUUCCCUAGCCCUUGUGGAUGUAAUUAGCAAUUAGACUUCAUAAACUGAGAGGAGGCUGAGGAAUAUGCCAUUUCUCUGAUUUUGGCAGAGAAAGGUUCUAAUCAUUUGAGUAACUGAGGAAGUAGUUAGGAGGGAUGGCCAGGUUUUGUAGAGAAGGUGAGAAGUCAUCCCCAGACUUGCUGUGAAUGUUAAUGAUUGUUAAAAGAGAGGAUCAGCUGCACCUGUUCACAGCAAUGUAAGGACUGCUGCCAGUCAAAGACUUUCCAUUGGUCUUUUGCUUGUCAUACUGUUGGGGUGCUAUCUAUGGUCAAUUCAGAGAGUUGGCUUUUAGAUAAGUGGUUCUGUUCAAGCCUUUAGCUUAUCGAUAUCGUUAUUUGUAUACUGUUGACUCUUUGGUAUAGGUAACUGACUUCUGAACUGUAUAUAUAAAUAUAUAUAUAUUUAUUUAGAGGAGCAUCUAUGCUACCUGGAUAUCACUGAUUGUGCAGAUUAUUAGAUAAGUUAAGCAAUCAAAGUUAAUAAGCACUGCUUGUAUUAUGCAAGGUUGUUUGGCCAAAUUAGUAUCAGCGCUAACCUAUCUGGGCUGUGUAAAGCAGGGGAGGAGCCUUAGCUCCAUGAAAGUGCUUGUAGGUCCUUGAUACACAAAUGUACUCUGACUUUUAAGUACUUCCCACAAUUGUUAUGGCUGUCUUCAUUAAUGUGGUAUCUGUCCUUUCUUCUGGAUCCCUAAAAAGGAAGCCCUUCCAAGCCUGAGUUUUACAUUGUUUAUAACCUCUUUUUUUUCAGUGAAUACCAGAGAAAGAAACACAAAAUUUGAGCCAAUGGUACUAGAGAAGGCUGGAAGCAGAUGAUUAUUUAGAACUACUGGCAGCUGGAUAGUAAAAAAUACAUUCAUGCUAGCCAGAGUAGAAUCUCCUUAAAAAUUG
rnacentral:lncRNA from 1 species